ACAGGUGCUGCAUGGCUGUCGUCAGCUCGUGUCGUGAGAUGUUGGGUUAAGUCCCGCAACGAGCGCAACCCUUGCCUUUAGUUGCCAGCAGUUCGGCUGGGCACUCUAAAGGGACUGCCGGUGUUAAACCGGAGGAAGGUGGGGAUGACGUCAAGUCCUCAUGGCCUUUAUGACCAGGGCUACACACGUACUACAAUGGCCGAUACAAAGGGCAGCGACACUGCGAGGUGAAGCCAAUCCCGUAAAAUCGGUCUCAGUCCGGAUUGGAGUCUGCAACUCGACUCCAUGAAGUUGGGAUCGCUAGUAAUCGUGGAUCAGCAUGCCACGGUGAAUACGUUCCCGGGCCUU
rnacentral:rRNA from 1 species